rnacentral:misc_RNA from 1 species
AAGUCGUAACAAGGUUUCCGUAGGUGAACCUGCGGAAGGAUCAUUAACACGUUUUUUUAAACCAAAACGUACUAAAACUCUGUGAACGAGAUUUCCGAAUAUUAAUCUCAACUAAUAAUAUUAUUAAUAAUAUUAAUAAUAUUAUUAGGAUUAUAUUUGGGUAACAUAAAUCUCACUAUUUUUAUUCCAAUAUCACCAACCCCUAAAACUACUUAAUACUAUAUGGUGAAAUAUCCAUAUAUGUAUUCUGUAUGUUUGUAACUAAACUUUUUCUUCAUUUCAUGCCUAAAAAACAUGAAAGCAAAAGGAUAGUAUUAUCUUCGGAUAUACUUUAUCUUUUUAUGAACCAAAACUGUUGUACAACUCUUAGCAACGGAUAUCUUGGUUCCC